rnacentral:rRNA from 1 species
UACGAAGGGUGCUAGCGUUGUUCGGAAUCACUGGGCGUAAAGCGUGCGUAGGCGGUUUCUUAAGUCUGAUGUGAAAGCCCGGGGCUCAACCCCGGAUGUGCAUUGGAUACUGGGAGGCUAGAGAUUGGGAGAGGAAAGUGGAAUUCCGAGUGUAGAGGUGAAAUUCGUAGAUAUUCGGAGGAACACCAGUGGCGAAGGCGACUUUCUGGACCAAUACUGACGCUGAGGUACGAAAGCGUGGGGAUCAAAC